UGAGUACGAGAUGCUACGGCGUCGAAGCAGUCUAGGUCAUACUUCCAAGAAAAGCUUGCACUGUCAUAAACAAAGAAUGCCUGUACCAUAACCGACACAGGUGGGUAGGUAGAGUAUACUAAGGGGCGCGAGAUAACUCUCUCUAAGGAACUCGGCAAAAUGACUCCGUAACUUCGGGAGAAGGAGUGCCUUAUUUUUAAGGUUGCAAUAACAAGAUCCAAGCAACUGUUUACCAAAAACACAGGUCUCCGCUAAGUCGUAAGACGAUGUAUGGGGGCUGACGCCUGCCCAGUGCCAGAAGGUUAAAGAAGUUGGUUAGCAUUUGCGAAGCUGAUAACUGAAGCCCUGGUGAACGGCGGCCGUAACUAUAACGGUCCUAAGGUAGCGAAAUUCCUUGUCGGGUAAGUUCCGACCCGCGCGAAAGGCGUAAUGAUUUGGAUACUGUCUCGGAGAGGGGCUCGGUGAAAUAGACUUGUCUGUGAAGAUGCGGACUACCUGCACCUGGACAGAAAGACCCUAUGAAGCUUUACUGUAACUUGAGAUUGAAAUUGGACUUUAUUUGCGCAGUAUAGGUGGGAGGCGUUGAGAAUAAUCUUGCGGGAUUAUCGGAGCCAUCAGUGAGAUACCACUCUUGUAAUGUUAGAUUUCUAACUUUGUAUCAUUAUCUGGUCAAAGAACAGUUUCAGGCGGGCAGUUUGACUGGGGCGGUCGCCUCCCAAAGGGUAACGGAGGCGCACAAAGGUUUCCUCUGAACGGGUAGAAAUCGUAUCUAGAGUGUAAAGGCAUAAGGAAGCUUGACUGUGAGACCUACAAGUCGAGCAGGGACGAAAGUCGGUCUUAGUGAUCUGACGGUGCUGAGUGGAAAGGCCGUCACUCAACGGAUAAAAGUUACUCUAGGAUAACAGGCUGAUCUCCCCCAAGAGUUCACAUCGACGGGGAGGUUUGGCACCUCGAUGUCGGCUCAUCGCAUCCUGGGGCGGUAGUACGUCCCAAGGGUUGGGCUGUUCGCCCAUGAAAGCGGUACGCGAGCUGGGUUCAGAACGUCGUGAGACAGUUCGGUCCAUAUCCGGUGUAGGCGUUAGAAUAUUGAAAGGAGCCUUCUCUAGUACGAGAGGACCGAGAAGGACAUACCUCUGGUGUGCCAGUUAUCGUGCCAACGGUAAACGCUGGGUAGCUAUGUAUGGAGUGGAUAACCGCUGAAAGCAUCUAAGUGGGAAGCCCACCUUAAGAUAAGUAUUCUCAUCAG
rnacentral:rRNA from 1 species